GAUGAACGCUGGCGGCGUGCCUAAUACAUGCAAGUAGAGCGAAGCGGGGACGGGUGAGUAACACGUAGGUAACCUCCUAUAAGACGGGGAUAACUUCGGGAAACCGGAGCUAAACCGGAUACUUAUAGAUGGAUCCGCGUUGCAUUAGCUAGUUGGUAAGGUAACGGCUUACCAAGGCAACGAUGCAUACCCGACCUGAGAGGGGGAUCGGCAAACCUGGAACUGAUAAACGGUCCAGACCCCAACGGGAGGAAGAAGAAGGGAACCUUCCGCAAUGGGCGAAAGCCUGACGGAGAAACGCCCGGGGAGGGAUGAAGGUCUCCGGACCUUAAACCUCUGUGAUUAGGGAAGCGGUACCUAAUCAGAAAGCCACGGCUAACUACGUGCCAGCAGCCGCGGUAAUAC
rnacentral:rRNA from 1 species